rnacentral:rRNA from 1 species
CCUACGGGAGGCUGCAGUCGAGAAUCAUUCACAAUGGGGGAAACCCUGAUGGUGCGACGCCGCGUGGGGGAAUGAAGGUCUUCGGAUUGUAAACCCCUGCCAUGUGGGAGCAAAUUAAAAAGAUAGUACCACACGAGGAAGAGACGGCUAACUCUGUGCCAGCAGCCGCGGUAAUACAGAGGUCUCAAGCGUUGUUCGGAAUCACUGGGCGUAAAGCGUGCGUAGGCUGUUUCGUAAGUCGUGUGUGAAAGGCGCGGGCUCAACCCGCGGACGGCACAUGAUACUGCGAGACUAGAGUAAUGGAGGGGGAACCGGAAUUCUCGGUGUAGCAGUGAAAUGCGUAGAUAUCGAGAGGAACACUCGUGGCGAAGGCGGGUUCCUGGACAUUAACUGACGCUGAGGCACGAAGGCCAGGGGAGCGAAAGGGAUUAGAUACCCGUGUAGUC